GUCCUUGUUUCACAGUGCACAUACUAAAAUUGGAACCACAACAGAGAAGAUCAACAUGGACCCUGCACAUGGAUGACAUACAAAUUUGUGAAGUAUUCCAUUAAAAA
ensembl:snRNA U6 U6 spliceosomal RNA